CUAAAAACAGCACUGAAUGUCCAAAUAUUGAGAAUAAUGCUAUAGCUUAAAAUUAUUCACUAUUCUGCAUGUAAGGUUUAGUGUUCCCAAAGUUUACUGGAAUUAGACCCUGUAUUUUAAUGAAAUAGAAGGAGGUCUUAUGCUAAAGUCUUAUUGGAUUGUUAACCCUUCAGUCAUUUUUAGUCAUAUUAACCGGUCGUCUGCCCCUAUAACUUUUGUUCUGCUUUAGGUAAGUGGCUGUUCUACCUUUGAAAAUACUUGCGUAUGCCUCGAGUGUUUGGAGAAUUAGUUUGAUUCGUGUAUCACAAUGUCUGGUCAAGUUAAGGGGGCUUAAUUUUCUUUAUCAGACUAAAUAAUGGCGUUUUUAAUGAAGGAUUCCUUGUGAAAAAAAGCAGUUAAUGUCCAAAUAUUGAGAAUAAUGCAUUAGUUUAAAAUUAUUCACCAUUCGGCAUGCAACGGUUUAGUGUUCCCAAAGUUUAUUGCAAUUGGGUACAGUAUUUAAUGAAUUUGAGGGAGUUCUUAAGCUAAAGUUUUAUUGGAUUGUUAACUCUUCAGUCAUUUUUAUUCAUAUUAACAGGUCUUCUGCCCCUAACUUUUGUUGUACUUUAGCUAAGUGGCUCUUCUACCUUUAAAAAUACUUGCGUACGCUUGGAAAGUUUGCAGAAUUAGUUUGCUGCGUGUAUCACAAUGUCUGGUCAAGUUAAGGCG